rnacentral:lncRNA from 1 species
GAUGCUACCAUUGAAUUUAAUUAUGAUGCUGUCUUCAACAUGGAAGUUACAUAAGAAAAUUUGAAGCCAUUGUGUAUUUCAGCUAGGCUUCUUCUUAGGAAAUAGAGGUCAGCCUAGUGCAGUGAAGUCUGAUUGGAGGUGGACAAUGAGGAUCCUGCCAAGAUGCUGUCCUUAGCUUCUGUUCAGCCUAAUGUAAGUUCAUUCCUUUUGAUUACAGUCAUUUCAAUGACUUUUUUUGCCCAUAAAAUUAUGACCACAUA